rnacentral:rRNA from 1 species
UACAGAGGGUGCGAGCGUUAAUCGGAUUUACUGGGCGUAAAGGGUGCGUAGGUGGUUGAGCAAGUAAGAUGUGAAAGCCCCGGGCUUAACCUGGGAAGUGCAUCUUAAACUGCUUAGCUAGAGUAUGGUAGAGGGUAGUGGAAUUUCCGGUGUAGCGGUGAAAUGCGUAGAGAUCGGAAGGAACGCCAGUGGUGAAGACGACUACCUGGACCAAUACUGACACUGAGGCACGAAAGCGUGGGGAUCAAACAGG